GAAAUGCGAUACGUAAUGUGAAUUGCAGAAUUCAGUGAAUCAUCGAAUCUUUGAACGCACCUUGCGCCCCUUGGCAUUCCGAGGGGCACACCCGUUUGAGUGUCGUGAAAUUCUCAAAACCCUUUUCUUUGAAAAGGAUUUUUGGACUUGGAGGUUCAAUGCUUGCUUUUGGUUUUGAAAGUGAGCUCCUCUUAAAUGAAUUAGUGGGGUCUGCUUUGCUGGUCCUUAACGUGAUAAGGUGUUUCUACGUUUUGGAUUUGGCAUUGUCCUUUUAGACGUCCGCUCCCAACUGUCUUUUAUGGACGACGGAUGGUGUUUCAGUCGAUCGCCAUUUAUUUACACUGGCGGGAGGCUGGACCCACAAAAAAAAAACCCUUGACCUCAAAUCGGGUGAAACUACCCGCUGAACUUAA
rnacentral:rRNA from 1 species